AGCAGAAGAUCCUAGAAUUUACCACCAGGAUCACUGAGCUGCUGAGCGGAGAGGUUUCUAUAAGGUGUCAGGAUGUUGCUGUCUAUUUCUCCAUGAAGGAGUGGAAGUAUUUAGAAAAACAUAAGGAUCUGUACAAGGACGUCAUGAUGGAGAAUCACCAGUCCCUCACAUCACCGGAUGGAUCCAGUCAGAGAAAUCCACCAGAGAGAUGUCCCAGUCCUCUGUAUUCCCAGGACUGUCCACAGGAAAAGCAGAAUGCCCCACUGGAUCAUCAAGAAAGUUCAGGUGGAACGACGAGUGAGCUCAAAAAACCCGG